GUGGGGAAUAUUGGACAAUGGGCGCAAGCCUGAUCCAGCCAUGCCGCGUGGGUGAUGAAGGCCCUAGGGUUGUAAAGCUCUUUCACCGGAGAAGAUAAUGACGGUAUCCGGAGAAGAAGCCCCGGCUAACUUCGUGCCAGCAGCCGCGGUAAUACGAAGGGGGCUAGCGUUGUUCGGAAUUACUGGGCGUAAAGCGCACGUAGGCGGACAUUUAAGUCAGGGGUGAAAUCCCGGGGCUCAACCCCGGAACUGCCUUUGAUACUGGGUGUCUGGAGUAUGGAAGAGGUAAGUGGAAUUCCGAGUGUAGAGGUGAAAUUCGUAGAUAUUCGGAGGAACACCAGUGGCGAAGGCGGCUUACUGGUCCAUUACUGACGCUGAGGUGCGAAAGCGUGGGGAGCAAACAGGAUUAGAAACCCGAGUAGUCC
rnacentral:rRNA from 1 species